rnacentral:rRNA from 1 species
AUGGCACUGGUGCAGACAUAUGGGAAGCCUGACAUCUUUUUGACUAUGACAUGCAAUCCUAGCUGGGAGGAGAUACUGAAUGAGCUGCUUCUUGGACAGACACCCCAGGAUCGACCAGAUCUUGUCGCACACUUGAAGUGCAAGAGCAAGUACCCACGAUCGUUCAACCAGAACACCUUACAGGGGAAGGAUUCAUACCCGGUUUAUCGAUGGCGAGACGAUGGUCGUCAGGCUAAGGUCCGUCGUCAAAUGCUGGAUAACAGAUGGGUCGUGCCUUACAACCCUUAUCUGUUGUGGAUGUUCAACUGCCACAUAAAUGUCGAGGUGUGCUCCAGCAUC